AUGAAUCUUGAUCAUGCGGUCCCAGGCUUCGUCGCUCAAGUCGACGAGGAAGUCAAGGGGUUCCAACUCGCUGAUUUUUCC
rnacentral:tRNA from 1 species